AACGAACGCUGGUGGCAGGCUUAACACAUGCAAGUCGAACGCAUCCUUCGGGGUGAGUGGCAGACGGGUGAGUAACGCGUGGGAACGUGACCUUCAGUUCGGGAUACCCCAGGGAAACUUGGGCCAAUAACGGAUACGUGCGAGAGCAGAGAGAUUUACCGAUGAAGGAUCGGACCGCGGCUGAUUAGCUAGUUGGUGGGGUAAUGGCCCACCAAGGCGACGAUCAGUAGCUGGUCUGAGAGGAUGAUCAGCCACAUUGGGACUGAGACACGGCCCAAUCUCCUACGGGAGGCAGCAGUGGGGAAUAUUGGACAAUGGGCGCAAGCCUGAUCCAGCCAUGCCGCGUGAUUGAUGAAGGCCUUAGGGUUGUAAAGCUCUUUCGUCCGGGACGAUAAUGACGGUACCGGAAGAAGAAGCCCCGGCUAACUUCGUGCCAGCCGCCGCUGUAA
rnacentral:rRNA from 1 species